rnacentral:rRNA from 1 species
GGGUUGUGAGGUUAAGCGACUAAGCGUACACGGUGGAUGCCCUGGCAGUCAGAGGCGAUGAAGGGCGUGCUAAUCUGCGAUAAGCGCCGGUAAGGUGAUAUGAACCGUUAUAACCGGCGAUACCCGAAUGGGGAAACCCAGUGUGAUUCGUCACACUAUCAUUAACUGAAUCCAUAGGUUAAUGAGGCGAACCGGGGGAACUGAAACAUCUAAGUACCCCGAGGAAAAGAAAUCAACCGAGAUUCCCCCAGUAGCGGCGAGCGAACGGGGAGGAGCCCAGAGCCUGAAUCAGCAUGUGUGUUAGUGGAAGCGUCUGGAAAGGCGCGCGAUACAGGGUGACAGCCCCGUACACAAAAGCGCAUGUGCUGUGAGCUCGAUGAGUAGGGCGGGACACGUGGUAUCCUGUCUGAAUAUGGGGGGACCAUCCUCCAAGGCUAAAUACUCCUGACUGACCGAUAGUGAACCAGUACCGUGAGGGAAAGGCGAAAAGAACCCCGGCGAGGGGAGUGAAAAAGAACCUGAAACCGUGUACGUACAAGCAGUGGGAGCCCCACCACCAAAGCAUUUGCUGUACCGCGUUGACGGAGCGAAGCGACGUCAAACCGAUAAAACAGCAGUGUAAAGUGAGCCGCAGGGCGCUUUGCGCGACAGCGCAAAGGCAGGCGGUUUCGCGUAGCGAAAGCGAAUGCUUUGGGGUGGGGUGACUGCGUACCUUUUGUAUAAUGGGUCAGCGACUUAUAUUCUGUAGCAAGGUUAACCGAAUAGGGGAGCCGGAGGGAAACCGAGUCUUAAUUGGGCGUUAAGUUGCAGGGUAUAGACCCGAAACCCGGUGAUCUAGCCAUGGGCAGGUUGAAGGUUGGGUAACACUAACUGGAGGACCGAACCGACUAAUGUUGAAAAAUUAGCGGAUGACCUGUGGCUGGGGGUGAAAGGCCAAUCAAACCGGGAGAUAGCUGGUUCUCCCCGAAAGCUAUUUAGGUAGCGCCUCGUGAAUUCAUCUCCGGGGGUAGAGCACUGUUUCGGCUAGGGGGCCAUCCCGGCUUACCAACCCGAUGCAAACUGCGAAUACCGGAGAAUGUUAUCACGGGAGACACACGGCGGGUGCUAACGUCCGUCGUGAAGAGGGAAACAACCCAGACCGCCAGCUAAGGUCCCAAAGUCAUGGUUAAGUGGGAAACGAUGUGGGAAGGCCCAGACAGCCAGGAUGUUGGCUUAGAAGCAGCCAUCAUUUAAAGAAAGCGUAAUAGCUCACUGGUCGAGUCGGCCUGCGCGGAAGAUGUAACGGGGCUAAACCAUGCACCGAAGCUGCGGCAGCGACACUGUGUGUUGUUGGGUAGGGGAGCGUUCUGUAAGCCUGUGAAGGUGUGUCGUGAGGCAUGCUGGAGGUAUCAGAAGUGCGAAUGCUGACAUAAGUAACGAUAAAGCGGGUGAAAAGCCCGCUCGCCGGAAGACCAAGGGUUCCUGUCCAACGUUAAUCGGGGCAGGGUGAGUCGACCCCUAAGGCGAGGCCGAAAGGCGUAGUCGAUGGGAAACGGGUUAAUAUUCCCGUACUUGGUGUUACUGCGAAGGGGGGACGGAGAAGGCUAUGUUGGCCGGGCGACGGUUGUCCCGGUUUAAGCGUGUAGGUGUGUGUUCCAGGUAAAUCCGGUUCACUUUAACACUGAGGCGUGACGACGAGGCACUACGGUGCUGAAGCAACAAAUGCCCUGCUUCCAGGAAAAGCCUCUAAGCAUCAGGUAACAUCAAAUCGUACCCCAAACCGACACAGGUGGUCAGGUAGAGAAUACCAAGGCGCUUGAGAGAACUCGGGUGAAGGAACUAGGCAAAAUGGUGCCGUAACUUCGGGAGAAGGCACGCUGACACGUAGGUGAAGUGAUUUACUCAUGGAGCUGAAGUCAGUCGAAGAUACCAGCUGGCUGCAACUGUUUAUUAAAAACACAGCACUGUGCAAACACGAAAGUGGACGUAUACGGUGUGACGCCUGCCCGGUGCCGGAAGGUUAAUUGAUGGGGUCAGCGCAAGCGAAGCUCCUGAUCGAAGCCCCGGUAAACGGCGGCCGUAACUAUAACGGUCCUAAGGUAGCGAAAUUCCUUGUCGGGUAAGUUCCGACCUGCACGAAUGGCGUAAUGAUGGCCAGGCUGUCUCCACCCGAGACUCAGUGAAAUUGAACUCGCUGUGAAGAUGCAGUGUACCCGCGGCAAGACGGAAAGACCCCGUGAACCUUUACUAUAGCUUGACACUGAACAUUGAGCCUUGAUGUGUAGGAUAGGUGGGAGGCUUUGAAGUGUGGACGCCAGUCUGCAUGGAGCCGACCUUGAAAUACCACCCUUUAAUGUUUGAUGUUCUAACGUGGACCCGUUACCCGGGUUGCGGACAGUGUCUGGUGGGUAGUUUGACUGGGGCGGUCUCCUCCUAAAGAGUAACGGAGGAGCACGAAGGUUGGCUAAUCCUGGUCGGACAUCAGGAGGUUAGUGCAAUGGCAUAAGCCAGCUUGACUGCGAGCGUGACGGCGCGAGCAGGUGCGAAAGCAGGUCAUAGUGAUCCGGUGGUUCUGAAUGGAAGGGCCAUCGCUCAACGGAUAAAAGGUACUCCGGGGAUAACAGGCUGAUACCGCCCAAGAGUUCAUAUCGACGGCGGUGUUUGGCACCUCGAUGUCGGCUCAUCACAUCUGGGGCUGAAGUAGGUCCCAAGGGUAUGGCUGUUCGCCAUUUAAAGUGGUACGCGAGCUGGGUUUAGAACGUCGUGAGACAGUUCGGUCCCUAUCUGCCGUGGGCGCUGGAGAACUGAGGGGGGCUGCUCCUAGUACGAGAGGACCGGAGUGGACGCAUCACUGGUGUUCGGGUUGUCAUGCCAAUGGCACUGCCCGGUAGCUAAAUGCGGAAGAGAUAAGUGCUGAAAGCAUCUAAGCACGAAACUUGCCCCGAGAUGAGUUCUCCCUGAGACUUAAAGUCUCCUGAAGGAACGUUGAAGACGACGACGUUGAUAGGCCGGGUGUGUAAGCGCAGCGAUGCGUUGAGCUAACCGGUACUAAUGAACCGUGAGGCUUAACCUUACAACGCCGAAG